rnacentral:RNase_P_RNA from 1 species
GGUAAAUCAUUCAAGAAUUGAUGAAAGGCUACCGCUUGCCAUUGCAACCACAACGAUACUCCUGAACGCGAUGUUGGUGAGAUUUCCAAAGCCUGUAGUGUUCGUGCUUAGCGAAACCAUAAGCUAAGGUACUCUUUGGAGUAACGGCAGGAAAACAAGCUAAGGCUUCGGCUAUGCUUAAGUAUCCUUGAAAGUGCCACAGUGACGAAGCGGCUGGGGAAACCCAUCCGGUGGAACGCGGUAAACCCCUCGAGCGAGCAACCCAAACAUGGUAGGGGCGCUUUUUUGUCUGGAAGAAGAACAGGACAAAAAGGCAGUAUAACUGCAGAUAGAUGGUUACCGCUUUGUUUUUUCUCCCUGGAAAAGCAAAGUACAGA